rnacentral:rRNA from 1 species
GCAAGCUCAGAGUUUGAUCCUGGCUCAGGACGAACGCUGGCGGCGUGCCUAAUACAUGCAAGUAGAACGCUGAGGUUUGGUGUUUACACUAGACUGAUGAGUUGCGAACGGUGAGUAACGCGUAGGUAACCUGCCUCAUAGCGGGGGAUAACUAUUGGAAACGAUAGCCAAUACCGCAUAAGAGUAAUUAACACAUGUUAGUUAUUUAAAAGGAGCAAUUGCUUCACUGUGAGAUGGACCUGCGUUGUAUUAGCUAGUUGGUGAGGUAAAGGCUCACCAAGGCGACGAUACAUANCCGACCUGAGAGGGUGAUCGGCCACACUGGGACUGAGACACGGCCCAGACUCCUACGGGAGGCAGCAGUAGGGAAUCUUCGGCAAUGGACGGAAUCUGACCGAGCAACGCCGCGUGAGUGAAGAAGUUUUCGGAUCGUAAACUCUGUUGUUAGA